rnacentral:SRP_RNA from 1 species
CUGGAAUGAAGCAGCAGCAGCAAGUGCUGCUGAUGCUCGUG